UACGGGGGGGGCAAGCGUUGUUCGGAAUUACUGGGCGUAAAGGGCUUGUAGGUGGCCAACUAAGUCAGACGUGAAAUCCCUCGGCUUAACCGGGGAACUGCGUCUGAUACUGGAUGGCUCGAGUGUGGGAGAGGGAUGCGGAAUUCCAGGUGUAGCGGUGAAAUGCGUAGAGAUCAUGAGGAAGACCAGUGGCGAAGGCGGGUCUCUGGACAGUUCCUGACACUGAGGCACGAAGGCCAGGGGAGCAAACGGG
rnacentral:rRNA from 1 species